UUGGUGAGGUAACGGCUCACCAAGGCGACGAUGCGUAGCCGACCUGAGAGGGUGAUCGGCCACACUGGGACUGAGACACGGCCCAGACUCCUACGGGAGGCAGCAGUAGGGAAUCUUCCGCAAUGGACGAAAGUCUGACGGAGCAACGCCGCGUGAGUGAUGAAGGUUUUCGGAUCGUAAAGCUCUGUUGUUAGGGAAGAACAAGUGCAAGAGUAACUGCUUGCACCUUGACGGUACCUAACCAGAAAGCCACGGCUAACUACGUGCCAGCAGCCGCGGUAAUACGUAGGUGGCAAGCGUUGUCCGGAAUUAUUGGGCGUAAAGGGCUCGCAGGCGGUUUCUUAAGUCUGAUGUGAAAGCCCCCGGCUCAACCGGGGAGGGUCAUUGGAAACUGGGAAACUUGAGUGCAGAAGAGGAGAGUGGAAUUCCACGUGUAGCGGUGAAAUGCGUAGAGAUGUGGGAGGAACACCAGUGGGCGAAGGCGACUCUUUUGGUCUGUAACUUGACGCUGAAGGAGCGAAAAGCGUGGGGGAGCGAACAGGGAUUAAGAUACCCCUGGGU
rnacentral:rRNA from 1 species